rnacentral:rRNA from 1 species
GAUCAUGGCUUAGAUUGAACGCUGGCGGCAGGCCUAACACAUGCAAGUCGAACGGUAACAGGAAGCAGCUUGCUGCUUUGCUGACGAGUGGCGGACGGGUGAGUAAUGUCUGGGAAACUGCCUGAUGGAGGGGGAUAACUACUGGAAACGGUAGCUAAUACCGCAUAACGUCGCAAGACCAAAGAGGGGGACCUUAGGGCCUCCUGCCAUCGGAUGUGCCCAGAUGGGAUUAGCUAGUAGGG